rnacentral:tRNA from 6 species
GGGGCUGUAGCUCAGCUGGGAGAGCGUCGCGUUCGCAAUGCGAAGGUCAGGGGUUCGAUCCCCCUCAGCUCCACCA